CACGUUCCUCAGGGGUAGAUGUUGUCACAGAUGAAAACACGGAACUCAGGACACUAAACACCGUAGCCGGGCCAGCCAGAUGCAUGGCAGAGCCAGGAGCUCCACCCUCUCUGCUGGCCCAAAGCGGAUGCCCAGCUUGGAGCUUUAGGGACAGCGCGGCCAGCGGAGGGCUCUAGACCACGGACUCCAAGCCCAAGCAACCCCUGCGCUGCCUGGAACCACAGCAGACUCCCAGGGCCGGCUCCGGGGACGGCCACCGCUGAGCUGUCUCCGUCAUUCCCCCAGCACCCACGCACAGUACCGCCCCUUCCCACCCUCCAGAUCCUCUCAUGACCCCGUGCCCCCUCAGCCACCAUGCCCUGUCUCUGGGCCCCUGCAGAGUUCUCCCAGCCUUCCUGUCUCCCAGGUUUCUCCUGAUGCCUCCUUGCAGCCCCUCCUCCAAUUGCUAGAUCUUACCCCUAAAAGCUCUUGUCCCAACAACAGCCUUUGUGCUUUCUCUGCCACUCCUCUCUGGCCUCAUCUCCCUCCCCUCAUCUCUCUUUUGGCCAAUCCAAUGCCUGUGGCUCUGACGUGCCCGAUUCCCACUACCUCAGGGCCUUUGCACUGGUGGUCUCUGCCUGGAGGAUUCUUUUUUCUCGCUACCUGGAUGUUUUACUUUCCCCUUUCCUUCAACUGUCCUCUCAAAGAACUCUUCUCAGCGAGCCUUUCCCAGACCACUAUUUUAAAAUAGAAAUAGAGCCAGGUGUAGUGCCAUGUAUCUAAGCCCCAGGUAUUUGGGAGGCUGAGGCAAGAGGGUCCCUUGAGCCCAGGGUUCCAGAGCAACCUCAACAGCAGAGCAAGACCCUGCCUGAGAAAGAAAAGGAAAGAAAGGAAGGAAGAGGGCAUAGAAAAUAUAAAUGCCCUCUUCUAACAUCCCCUACGUCCCCUCUUUGCUUAUUUCUCGGUGUGGCCCCUGUCGCUGCCUAAUGCACUAGAACUUACCUACAGGACUGCUCCACUGAGGCCCACCCCAAGGGCAGAGCUGUGU
rnacentral:lncRNA from 1 species